rnacentral:rRNA from 1 species
GAUGAACGCUGGCGGCGUGCUUAACACAUGCAAGUCGAACGAAGCACUUUAUUUGAUUUCCUUCGGGACUGAUUAUUUUGUGACUGAGUGGCGGACGGGUGAGUAACGCGUGGGUAACCUGCCUUGUACAGGGGGAUAACAGUUGGAAACGGCUGCUAAUACCGCAUAAGCGCACAGCAUCGCAUGAUGCAGUGUGAAAAACUCCGGUGGUAUAAGAUGGACCCGCGUUGGAUUAGCUAGUUGGUGAGGUAACGGCCCACCAAGGCGACGAUCCAUAGCCGACGUGAUAGGGUGACCGGCCACAUUGGGACUGAGACACGGCCCAAACUCCUACGGGAGGCAGCAGUGGGGAAUAUUGCACAAUGGGCGAAAGCCUGAUGCAGCGACGCCGCGUGAGCGAAGAAGUAUUUCGGUAUGUAAAGCUCUAUCAGCAGGGAAGAUAAUGACGUUACCUGACGAAGAAGCACCGGCUAAAUACGUG